UACAGAGGUGGCAAGCGUUGUUCGGAAUUACUGGGCGUAAAGGGCGUGUAGGCGGUCUUCUAAGUCAGACGUGAAAUCCCCCGGCUUAACCUGGGAACUGCGUCUGAUACUGGGAGGCUUGAGUAUGGGAGAGGGAUGUAGAAUUCCAGGUGUAGCGGUGAAAUGCGUAGAUAUCAGGAGGAACACCGAUGGCGAAGGCAGGUCUCUGGGCUGACACUGACGCUCAUGCACGAAAGCGUGGGGAGCAAACAGG
rnacentral:rRNA from 1 species